CACGUAGGGCGCAAGCGUUGUCCGGAAUUAUUGGGCGUAAAGAGCUCGUAGGCGGUCUGUUACGUCUGCUGUGAAAACCCAGGGCUUAACCCUGGGCUUGCAGUGGAUACGGGCAGACUAGAGGCAGGUAGGGGAGAAUGGAAUUCCCGGUGUAGCGGUGAAAUGCGCAGAUAUCAGGAGGAACACCGAUGGCGAAGGCAGGUCUCUGGGCAUUAACUGACGCUGAGGAGCGAAAGCAUGGGGAGCGAACAGG
rnacentral:rRNA from 1 species